UUCGGCGAUCGUGCCUAUUUACGCGUCGACGGUCUAACCAUGGCUUUCGAACGGCUACACGUAUGUGCUUAGCCUUAGCUGACCAUUGGAGAACGGCUGAGUACUGCGUGGGAAUUUGCCUUUGCGCGGGGAAUACCCAUUGGUAACGGUGGUCCAUACGGCUUAAUGACUGACGUCCUUUGGGGGGACUUCCUCCUCUCAGUUGAAGAGUGGCCCCAUUGAGAUUAACCAUUUGGACGGCUUAAGGCUGACCUGAGAGAACAACUCCAUUCUGUUCUGAUAGAAACAUAGCCCACACUCCGACUGAAACCAGGACCAGACUCUUUCGGGACGCGUUAGUGGCCAAUAUUGCGCCAUGUCGGCAACCCUAAUGCAGCCAUGCGGCUUGUGUGAACAAUGACUUCGGAUUGUACAUCACUUUCUCCGAUCCUGCAUCGAUGUUGUUUAAUACCCAACUAUCUGUGACCUUACUCUCAGAGCAGGCACCGGCUAACUCCGUGCGCGCUACCGCGGUAAUACAUAUCUGGCUAUCGUUAAUCGGAAUGACUGUACUUAAACCGCACGCUGGAGCCUAAUUCUCCUAGAACUGAAACCUCUGCGAUCAACUUGGGAAGGGCUUUGAGAACUGGAUGGCUAUACCAUUGGAUCGGGUAAUGUAAUUCCAUGUCUCGCGGAGAACUGCUUACAUAUCUGAAUGAUCACCUGAGGCUUGCGCCACUCUUUCGCCAGUGACUGACGCUCAUGUGCGAAUGUGCGGGGAGCGAACACGCUUUCAUACCCUGCUAGUCCACAUCGUAUACUGUGUCUACUAGCUGUGUGCCAACGUCUGUUUGUGUAUA
rnacentral:rRNA from 1 species